rnacentral:lncRNA from 1 species
AGCGGGCCCAGGACCCGGCUCCGACCGCCGGCAGCCGGCUGAGGCCAGGGCGUGAGAGCCGGACCAGACGACGAGGCCGCCGCUUCCUGUCCGGCCCCGGGCAAGAGGGGACCCGAAGCGGGUCGCAGGGUCGGGAGGCGCGCGGGGCAGCGAGGGGGGACUCACCUCUCCACCCGCGCGGCCUCCGCUCGCGCCUGUGCGUUGGAGGAGUUCGGCGUCCAGCUGGAAGGCGUCCUUACCCGGGUCAGCACCAUCCCGCCCCGGGCCCACUCACAUCGCCAUCGCAGCAACCGCAACCACCGCAAGCCAGGAGUCAGUCAGUUCGUCACGGGGUGCUCGGCUCUCGGCCCAGCGCCGCCGCCGGCGAGCAUGCGCAGUCGCCUCGGUCCCGAAGGAGCGCGGCCGGCGAGCGAUACCUGCGUUCAACAGGUCCCGGCCCGCGGCCCCGCCCCUGGCGCUCUCCCCUCCCCCUCUCGCUGCGUCCCGCCCUCUCGGCGGCGAGGCCCCGCCCCCUCCGGACUCCGCGUCCCGCCCCCUAGGAGCCCGCAGCCGCUGUGCCCGCGCCGACGCCAACCGAGAUUUCAAGAUUUGCUCUCCUUUCCCGGCCCGCGCUCCCGAGUUCCCGCGAGAACGGAAGGCUUGCGUCAAUAAAAAGCGCGAGCCCCGGCGAGAGCUUCGGUUACUGACUUCAAUCAAGUUGAGGAUUUCAAGCGAGAUCUUCAAUCAAGCGAAUCCCAUCUAACAUGGACUGGAUACAAUCCAUUCAAGACUUUCACUAUACUAACAUUUUCUUCCUACAGGACCCCACAAGGCUAUUGUCCCAUUUCAGCAGGAAGUAACUUGGAGGAUGCUACUCCCCCUUUCCCCAUUGUUGUCAUUUAGGAUACUGUAUAUACCUAGUUAGGGAUAGCUUCCUAUUGUUUAUGAUUGGGAUUGGAAGGAGGUGUUCAGGCUUGGACACCUCUUUCAGAUGACUUUAGGGUUUAGUUAAAACAGAUAGUUAGGAUGUGACAUAAGCAGAUUGUUGUGUCUUCUUAUAUUUCACCUUUAUUAUUGUUAAUUUUGGAUACUUUACUCUGUUAAGUUUUAAUCCUCUUUUAGACUAAAAGGGGAAUUGUAGGGGAACCUGUAGCCAUGUCUGCUUAGGGGCUGGCUACAGGUCUGCCUAACCACUCUUGUGAGGGUGUGGUCAGGGUGACAUAGAGUGAGAGGUUCAAGGCUGUGUUUCACUUUCUUUUUCCCCUUCAGCUUGCUGUACAGACUGCUGCCAUGCCAGCUGGCUAGGUCGCUCUGUAAUGCUGACAUAAAUGCUACUGGAAGGAAUAAAUCACCAUGUGUUGUCAAAGCUUGUGUUCCUCGGACUCAGCAGCUCCUGGGACAUCCAGAUUCUUGUCUUUGGCUGUUCCUCUAUACUUUGUAUGGCAAGCAUGAUGGGAAAUUCCCUGAUUCUUUUGACCCUGGCUUCACAUAUUCACUUACACCCUCCAUGAACUUUCUGUUGUAUAUUAAUAGACCUAUAUGAUAUUAAGAAAAGUUAUAUAAGUUCAUUUUUACUCUAACAUCAAAGCCAAACUAAAGGCUAACGGCCCAAUGAAAAAGGGAUGAGAACCAUUUAGUACUGAGGAAUGAACUUUAAAAUAAAAGUGAAGUAUCACUCCCAAAAGAGCUGAAAAAUUCCAAGGUCAAUUUAAAGUGUAAAAUAAGAUACAAUUGUUUAAAAGAGAGAGAUGAGGGGAUUUUGUUUUUUAUAGUGUGGACUCAUUUUAUCUCACUUAUUAG